UACGUAGGGGGCAAGCGUUGUCCGGAUUUAUUGGGCGUAAAGAGCGUGUAGGCGGCUAGGUAGGUCCGUUGUGAAAACUCGAGGCUCAACCUCGAGACGUCGAUGGAAACCAUCUAGCUAGAGUCCGGAAGAGGAGAGUGGAAUUCCACGUGUAGCGGUGAAAUGCGUAGAGAUGUGGAGGAACACCAGUGGCGAAGGCGACUCUCUGGACUGUGACUGACGCUGAGGCGCGAAAGCGUGGGGAGCAAACAGG
rnacentral:rRNA from 1 species